GAUGAACGCUAGCGGGAGGCCUAACACAUGCAAGCCGAGCGGUAUUUGUUCUUCGGAACAGAGAGAGCGGCGCACGGGUGCGGAACACGUGUGCAACCUGCCUUUAUCUGGGGGAUAGCCUUUCGAAAGGAAGAUUAAUACCCCAUAAUAUAUUGAGUGGCAUCACUUGAUAUUGAAAACUCCGGUGGAUAGAGAUGGGCACGCGCAAGAUUAGAUAGUUGGUGAGGUAACGGCUCACCAAGUCAAUGAUCUUUAGGGGGCCUGAGAGGGUGAUCCCCCACACUGGUACUGAGACACGGACCAGACUCCUACGGGAGGCAGCAGUGAGGAAUAUUGGACAAUGGGUUAGCGCCUGAUCCAGCCAUCCCGCGUGAAGGACGACGGCCCUAUGGGUUGUAAACUUCUUUUGUAUAGGGAUAAACCUACUCUCGUGAGAGUAGCUGAAGGUACUACACGAAUAAGCACCGGCUAACUCCGUG
rnacentral:rRNA from 1 species